AAGUCCUUAAAAGCUGAGAACUUCCUCCUGCUGGGGACAGGACAGAUGAGGCAGAAGGGGAGGUUAGGGAGGUUUGAAGAGUGAGAAGAACUUCUGCAGUGGCUGACUUGGAAGAUGAAGGAGGUUAUGAACCAGGGAAUGGGGGCAGCCUCUAGAGGCUGAGAACCUGCUGACACCUACCCACAACCACUAAGGAAAUGAAGACUUUAAUUCCACAACUGCAUGCAACUAAACUCAGCCAACAACCUGAAUAAGUCUGAAAAAGGCUUCUCCAGAGCCUCCAGAUAAGAGGCCAGGCUGGCGACACACCUUGAUUUUGACCUUGUGAGACCUAGAGCAGAGAAACUAGCCAAGAUCACUCAGACUUCUGAUCUACAGAACUGUGAGACCGUAAAUUUAUGUUGUAUUAAGCCACUAAUUGUGUGGGAAUUUGUUACAGGAGCAAUAGAAAAUGAAUACACCGUCUGAUGUAGUUUAAUCAGUUGACAUUAGGCGCAGUGGCUCAAGCCUGUAAUCCCAGCACUUUGGAAGGCCAAGGCAGAAGGAUUAUUUGAGGCCAGAAGUUCAAGACCACCCUGGGGUGACACCAAGAUGUGCUACACUGAACCCAACUUCUGCAUGUUUAAGACAAGACGCAAGGUCAAAAAUUUACAUCAGGUAUCUGAAUGUGUAGCAUAUACAACUGAGUGUUGAAAGAAGACAAAAUCGUUUUCAUCACGAAGAAUAUGUGCUCAGUAAGAAUCAGAAUGUUCAAUUGUGUGAAGGUGGGAGAUGGGAAGAUUGGUAUUAUGGCCUGGAUCCAGAAAUCAGUCUUCCACUAUGGGAAAUGGGAAUUUAAAGAUGAUCAGAAGACAGUUGGGAGCAGAGUGAGAAUAAGAACCCUCAACUGCUGUCUCACCUUUCAGAUCACGAAGAAGUUUUUUACAAUGAGCAGAACACUCAACCUGAAAGCAGAAUGGAUUGAGUCACUGCAGCGUGGCAGUGGAAUGGUGCUUGAUGUUGGCAAAGGAAACAUGUACUUCUAGACUGGACAGUUUUCCCUCAGUUUACAGUUUCCAAAUAGAGACAUCACUUUGAAAUAACAUGGAGAACAUACGUGGAUGUACUGAACGAAGAAUAAAGUCUGUGUUGCA